GUCAAAAAAGCUCCAAAAGACGAUUGUCUCGAGUGCCGGGACACGGACAUGGUAUCAAAAUCUGCACCCGUGAUCUUUGAAGACCGGUACUUAGAGCCUGAAGCAAUAGAUUGUUCAGAAGACUUUGUAGAUUGUUCAGAAGACUUCGUAGAUUGUUCAGAAGAGUUUAUGGAUUGUUCAGAAGACUUUAUAGAUUGUUCAGCAGAAGUUAAACCAUCCUCUGUUGUUAGUGCUGAAGAUAAGAUCAAGAAAAUUAUGUCACUCGUGUCAACUAUCAAAGCAGACAAUGGUUUAAAUCCCUCCUUUUAUGCCAUGCCAUUGCCUUUGAGGAAAGGGUUAUUUGACGUUAAAAAAGAACUGAGGAAAUGGAUACGUCAAUUCUUCUCCAACAACCCUUCCAAGGAGUUUACUCUGAGCAUGGAACUAGACAACGGAUCAAAUGAAGGAAUAUCUGUGCAUAUCAGGAUGAGACCUACUAAUUAUACAAUAGAUCCUCAAGCAAUAAUUACCUUUGUAUAUGGAUGUCUCGGUGGAAGAACUGCUGUCAUCGGGCAUCAAGGAAACAAGGAUGAAACUCUGGCUGAAUAUAAUUCGUUGGCUAAUUGUCUAUUGAGCCAAAUUGCAAAACUUGUGGAAUCUAACAGUCUAAUCAUAUCCAGGAUCAGAUUAUUCCAAGAAACCAGCGAAAAGAAACUCGUUUUGGAGCAACUUAUACCUACAGAAAAACAGCAGAGCGGUUCUACUGGUUCCAAAGACGACUCCAGUAGAGAAGACGGAACACAUCUAAUAGUCUGUGCGCACGGCUUGGGUGGCUCUGAACUUGAUCUUCUAUUUAUAAGACCUCAUAUCGAGUCUGGAGUGACACAUGAGAAAAUCGACUUCCUAAUGUCUAGUUGCAACCAGGGCUGCACCACUGAUGAUAUUGAUACAUUAGGCAGCAGUCUCCUAAAUGAAAUACUACAGUACAUAACAAGCAAGAAGCUCAUCAUUUCCAGGAUCAGCUUUAUCGGAUUUUCUUUGGGCAAUCUAAUAAUACGCUCAGCCCUGUGGAGACCUGAAUUUGAAGGCUACCGUGGAAACCUGCACACUUACCUCUCCUUCGGUGGACCACAUAUGGGCCUUCUGUACCCCAACUCGUUUCUCUUUAAAGCUGGCCUGUGGAUAGAGAAGCGGUUGCAUAUAGGUGUCUCCGUGUCUCAGAUGGCAUUAUCAGAUCACAAAGACCCAAGACAAAGUUUCCUCUACAAACUUAGUCAGAAAAAAGGCUUGGAGCACUUCAAGAAUGUGAUUCUCGUGAGCGCGUUACAAGAUUACGUUGUUCCCCAUCACUCCGCUCGUAUUGAAAUGUGCAAAGAUGCUGCGAAGGGAGAUGAGUUAGGAACUGUUUACAAUGAGAUGCUCCGAAACCUCCUUGAGCCUGUUCUACACAACGAGAACUGUAACUUCGUGAGAUACAACGUCAGUUUCGAUCUGGUCAAAUCAUUCUUGUCUUUCGCUGGGAUUAUGGGCCACGUCGCAUUAAUUUCAUCUUGGCAAUGUUUGGAGAACUUCUUUCAAAACGCUGGCCUGAAUUAUUUUGAAUAGAAGAAAUGUGAUGCCCGACGUUGUGUAAUACUAUGGAAGUGCCAGAGACAUUGAGUUGCAGAACCUUUUCUACCUUGUUGCACAAUGGACUAAUGAUUUUGCUGCAAAGACCGAUCUACUGUGAAAUGCUAAUGUUAUAGACCUGUGAAAUGUAUUUGUUCUUUGUUACUGAUUUACCAAUAAAAUAAACUUAAUUAAACAUAUUUGAUGAUUUUUUUAUCCUUUAAUACAAAAGGGUCAGACAUGAUCAUGGGGAGGGACACCCUGAUAGAGACAAAUUGCAUAAAAAAUAUGUAUAAAAACUUUCCGACAAUGCAAACACCAUUAACAAAUAACAAUAAGCCAAUUGGCAAAAAACGAUUCUCAUGAUAUGUGUUGGUCACUGAGUAUAGUUGUGAAUACAGAGAUUUGUGCAACAGAGAAAAUAAACAUCUCCCAGCUUUGUACAAUGUAUAAAUCAAAUACUGUAUAAAUCAGCCUGAUUUAAUGAGAAAAUACAAAUUAUAUUGAAAUCAGUAGUGUUCAGGCCCCGAUUGGCUGGCAAUGUAUUUCCUAUACUGGGAGAGAAAUGAUGGAUUUGAGUGUUAUUGAACAAGUAAAAUACCCCAUUAGGAAGGGAGAUGAAGGCCAGUUAUAUUGAAUGCUUAUAUAUGCCCUGGAUUUAUUGCAGAGACUGUUGCCCCAAUGUUUCUAUAUAUCUGUAACCUUGUUAUGAGCUAAGGG